UGCAACAGCCAUAUCACCCUGCAUCCCUAUACCGUUUACUCACUGAAGCUAAGCAGGGCUGAUCCUGGUCAAUACCUGGAUGGGAGACCACAUGAGAAAACUAGGUUGCUAUUGGGA
ensembl:rRNA 5S_rRNA 5S ribosomal RNA